GAGUUUGAUUCAUGGCUCAGAGUGAACGCUGGCGGCGUGCCUAAUACAUGCAAGUCGAACGGAGAUUAAGUAGCUUGCUAUUUAAUCUUAGUGGCGCACGGGUGAGUAAUAUAUAGCUAAUCUGCCCUACACUAGAGGACAACAGUUGGAAACGACUGCUAAUACUCUAUACUCCUUCUUUACAUAAGUUAAGUCGGGAAAGUUUUUCGGUGUAGGAUGAGGCUAUAUCGUAUCAGCUAGUUGGUAGGGUAACGGCCUACCAAGGCUAUGACGCGUAACUGGUCUGAGAGGAUGAUCAGUCACACUGGAACUGAGACACGGUCCAGACUCCUACGGGAGGCAGCAGUAGGGAAUAUUGCUCAAUGGGGGAAACCCUGAAGCAGCAACGCCGCGUGGAGGAUGACACUUUUCGGAGCGUAAACUCCUUUUCUUGGGAAAGAAUUAUGACGGUACCCAAGGAAUAAGCACCGGCUAACUCCGUGCCAGCAGCCGCGGUAAUACGGAGGGUGCAAGCGUUACUCGGAAUCACUGGGCGUAAAGGACGCGUAGGCGGAUUAUCAAGUCUCUUGUGAAAUCUAACGGCUUAACCGUUAAACUGCUUGGGAAACUGAUAAUCUAGAGUAAGGGAGAGGCAGAUGGAAUUCUUGGUGUAGGGGUAAAAUCCGUAGAGAUCAAGAAGAAUACCCAUUGCGAAAGCGAUCUGCUGGAACUUAACUGACGCUAAUGCGUGAAAGCGUGGGGAGCAAACAGGAUUAGAUACCCUGGUAGUCCACGCCCUAAACGAUGUAUACUAGUUGUUGCUUCGCUAGUCGAGGCAGUAAUGCACCUAACGGAUUAAGUAUACCGCCUGGGGAGUACGGUCGCAAGAUUAAAAACUCAAAGGAAUAGACGGGGACCCGCACAAGCGGUGGAGCAUGUGGUUUAAUUCGAAGAUACGCGAAGAACCUUACCCGGACUUGAUAUCUAACAAAUCAUCCAGAGAUGGAAGAGUGUCUGCUUGCAGAAAUGUUAAGACAGGUGCUGCACGGCUGUCGUCAGCUCGUGUCGUGAGAUGUUGGGUUAAGUCCCGCAACGAGCGCAAACCCACGUCAUUAGUUGCUAACGGUUCGGCCGAGCACUCUAAUGAGACUGCCUUCGUAAGGAGGAGGAAAGGUGUGGACGACGUCAAGUCAUCAUGGCCCUUAUGUCCGGGGCGACACACGUGCUACGAAUGGCGUAUACAAUAAGACGCAAUAUCGCGAGAUGGAGCAAAUCUAUAAAAUACGUCCCGGUUCGGAUUGGAGUCUGCGAACUCGACUCCAUGAAAGCCGGAAAUCGCUAGUAAUCGUAAAUCAGCCAUGCUACGGUAAAUACGUUUCCCGGGUCUUGUACACACCGCCCGUCA
rnacentral:rRNA from 1 species